rnacentral:misc_RNA from 1 species
GAUGAAGAACGUAGCGAAAUGCGAUAAGUAAUGUGAACUGCAGAAUUCAGUGAAUCAUCGAAUCUUUGAACGCACAUUGCGCCCGCCAGUAUUCUGGCGGGCAUGCCUGUUCGAGCGUCAUUUCAACCAUCAAGCCCCAGGCUUGUGUUGGGGACCUGCGGCUGCCGCAGGCCCUGAAAACCAGUGGCGGGCUCGCUGUCACACCGGGCGUAGUAGAUUUUAUCUCGCUCAGGGCGUGCUGCGGGUUCCGGCCGUUAAAAAGCCUUUUUUACCCAAGGUUGACCUCGGAUCAGGUAGGAAGACCCGCUGAACUUAAGCAUAUCAAAAGCGGAGGA